rnacentral:rRNA from 1 species
CAGUCGCCACGGUAAUACGUAGGGACCAAGCGUUGUUCGGAUUUACUGGGCGUAAAGGGCGCGUAGGCGGCAAUUCAAGUCAUCUGUGAAAUCUCCGGGCUUAACUCGGAACGGUCAGAUGAUACUGCUUUGCUAGAGUACAGAAGGGGCAAUCGGAAUUCUUGGUGUAGCGGUGAAAUGCGUAGAUAUCAAGAGGAACACCUGAGGUGAAGACGGGUUGCUGGGCUGAUACUGACGCUGAGGCGCGAAAGCUAGGGUAGCAAACGGGAUUAGAUACCCCUGUAGUCCCUGUCUCUUAUAC